AUUGAACGCUGGCGGCAUGCUUUACACAUGCAAGUCGAACGGUAACAGGGAGCUUGCUCCGCUGACGAGUGGCGAACGGGUGAGUAAUGCGUCGGAACGUGCCGAGUAGUGGGGGAUAACGCAUCGAAAGGUGUGCUAAUACCGCAUACGUACUGAGGUAGAAAGUGGGGGACCUUCGGGCCUCACGCUAUUCGAGCGGCCGGCGUCUGAUUAGCUAGUUGGUGAGGUAAAGGCUCACCAAGGCGACGAUCAGUAGCGGGUCUGAGAGGAUGAGCCGCCACACUGGGACUGGGACACGGCCAAGACUCCUCCGGGAGGCAGCAGUGGGGAAUUUUGGACAAUGGGCGCAAGCCUGAUCCAGCCAUGCCGCGUGUCUGAAGAAGGCCUUCGGGUUGUAAAGGACUUUUGUCCGGGAGCAAAUGCCUGGUGUUAAUAGCAUCGGGAGCUGAGAGUACCGGAAGAAUAAGCACCGGCUAACUACGUGCCAGCAGCCGCCGUAACAC
rnacentral:rRNA from 1 species